AAUGAACGCUGGCGGCAUGCCUAACACAUGCAAGUCGAACGAAGGCUUCGGCCUUAGUGGCGCACGGGUGCGUAACGCGUGGGAAUCUGCCCUCAGGUUCGGAAUAACAGCGAGAAAUUGCUGCUAAUACCGGAUGAUAUCGCGAGAUCAAAGAUUUAUCGCCUGAGGAUGAGCCCGCGUAGGAUUAGCUAGUUGGUGUGGUAAAGGCGCACCAAGGCGACGAUCCUUAGCUGGUCUGAGAGGAUGAUCAGCCACACUGGGACUGAGACACGGCCCAGACUCCUACGGGAGGCAGCAGUGGGGAAUAUUGGACAAUGGGCGAAAGCCUGAUCCAGCAAUGCCGCGUGAGUGAUGAAGGCCUUAGGGUUGUAAAGCUCUUUUACCCGGGAUGAUAAUGACAGUACCGGGAGAAUAAGCUCCGGCUAACUCCGUGCCAGCCGCCGCCGUAAAAC
rnacentral:rRNA from 1 species